AACGCACGAGACCUGCGGACCUGCGGAAGGAUCAUUAUAGAAUCACAAUUAUUUGAGAGUUGUCGUUUCUUUCCUGGGUUGUUUCUCGAGAGGGAGAUGAUUUGGGGGAGAGAGGAUGGCUCUCAUUUACAAACAAACGAUCACAACUAUUAUGCUGUGCUGUGCUGCUUUUCGCUGUGGUGAUGAGCGCGCUUGUGCAUGCAGAACCACAUUGGAGGGGGUUGUCUGGUUUCUGACAAC
rnacentral:misc_RNA from 1 species